UACAGGGGGUGCAAACGUUGCUCGGAAUCAUUGGGCGUAAAGCGCACGUAGGCGGUUCGUUAUGUCGGAUGUGAAAGCCCUUGGCUUAACCGAGGAAGUGCAUCCGAAACUGGCGAGCUAGAGUACGAAAGAGGAUCGCGGAAUUCCCGGUGUAGAGGUGAAAUUCGUAGAUAUCGGGAGGAACACCGGUGGCGAAGGCGGCGACCUGGGUGGAUACUGACGCUGAGGUGCGAAAGCGUGGGGAGCAAACAGG
rnacentral:rRNA from 1 species